UACGUAGGGUGCGAGCGUUGUCCGGAAUUACUGGGCGUAAAGAGCUCGUAGGCGGUGUGUCGCGUCGGCCGUGAAAACCUGCAGCUUAACUGUGGGCUUGCGGUCGAUACGGGCAUCACUGGAGUUCGGCAGGGGAGACUGGAAUUCCUGGUGUAGCGGUGAAAUGCGCAGAUAUCAGGAGGAACACCGAUGGCGAAGGCAGGUCUCUGGGCCGAUGACUGACGCUGAGGAGCGAAAGCGUGGGGAGCGAACAGG
rnacentral:rRNA from 1 species